rnacentral:lncRNA from 1 species
UCCCCCCUCCUCUCCAUAUGUUUUUCAUUAGCUUGCCCCAUUGAUAGCUUUUACUUUGUGAGGAGCAAGGAGGGGAAGAUCUUGACCGCUAUUAUAACUAUUAUUCAUGUCAACAAUGGCUUCCGCAGGUAUGAAUUUGAUUUAUUAAUUUAUUAUUUGAUGAUUCUCGAUUCUUAGCAUGAUUAUAAAUUAAAUUCAACAAUUGGUAUCAGAAUCUAAUGCUAAGAUCAGAAUCCGUCAUUAAAAUAAUAUUCUCUCUCUGAGUGAAUAAUUCUAAAUCCGCUACCCGUCAAUUCAAGUUUUUGGAAUUGUUAAGUUUUCAAAAAAAAAAAAAAAUUGAAAUUGAUUUCACGUGUUCUGUGCAUAUACGUGUUCAUUCAUUGUAUAGAUAUAAGAAAAGAAAUCCAAAAUCACCCAUGGCUUUCCCCUAAUCAACAAAACCCACUUGCAAAAGCUGAAACUUGGUUUUCUCUCUGCCUCCCUCAAACAGCUGAACCGCCUCUUCUCUUCCCUUCAUUAUUUUUCUAAAUGGCACUGCAAGACCCACAAUUUUCUCACUUCUUCAAGGUCUCUCUCUGUAUGUGUUUGCAUGUCUAUAUAAUUUCCUUUUCAUUGAAAUUUUUGUUAUCCUGAAGAAGCCAAGAAUUCAGGUUUUUCUUUUUGCAGUUGAAUAUUAAUUGCCCAAUGUUUUACUAUCAAAAGGAAACCCAGUAGCCAUUCCAAUAUUCCCGCUUUGCUUUGUCUGCUUGAAUUUAUCAUUUACAAUUUAUUUUAGUUUUGAUUGCUUUUCCAAAAAUCUGCCCAACAUUAAAUGCAAAAUCUGCCCAAUGUUUAAAAAAAAAAAAAAAAAAUUUGGGACGAACACUGUUGCUGCGUUUCAGGCAGCAGCGCCGCCCAGAAUCGCCUCCGACUGCUGCUGUGGUAGCAGCGCCGGGUACUACCGGCGCCACAGAAAAAAAAAUUGCGUUAACAGGUCUAAGGGGAGACGGGGCUCCUGUUGUAAAUAUUCGAUUUUCAAGCCCCUGUUUACAAUUACAGAUUGAGGGUUAGGUUUUGUAAAUUAUAUAAGGAGGGCCUGUCAUAUAAUUUAUGCAAUUGAAGGACCUGAUUUUAAUUUAGGGUUAAAAUGUAAUUUUCAAUAAGGGGCUCUUAAUUUGAACUUAUAAAGUUCUGACCCUAAAUUUUAAUUUUGACACAGUUAAAAAUUUUUAUUUGAUAAUUGACUCAUUUGGAAUAUAUUAAAUAAUAAUAAUAGUUUAGUUGACGACUUUUUGUAUUAUUUCAUUAAAAUGAUUAUGUAUUUAAAUGUUGUCAUUUUUUU